ACUGCCACCCCCUGUGUCCACUGUCACCCCCCCAUGUCCCCCAUCUCACUCUCAGUUUCCUAUAGGGUUUGGUUAUGGGGUCACCACUCACCACUCAGCACCACUCCAUGUCCCCCACCCCACACCUACCCACACUGCUAUGGGGUUUGGUUAUGGGGUUACUGGUCAGUGCCAGCCCCCAUGUCCACCAUCACCCACUCCUGUGCCCCCAUCCCACUGUCACCUUCCUAUGGGGUUUGGUUAUGGGAUCACCACUCACUGCCACCCCCCGUGUCCCUGCAGUGUCCCCAAGGCCGCCGUCCCGCUCCCCCCCCCAGGGCCGUCCCUGCGGGGUCCCCAACUCGGCGCUCAGCCCCUCACCCGGACACGGCGAGCAGCUGCACUGCGUGACACCGAGGAUGAGAUCUUCACAUUGUGACUGUGGGGACAUCAUUAUGGCCGUGGGGACAUCAUUAUGGCCAUGGGGGCACUGUGACUGUGGGAAUGGGAUGGAAUGGGGGGGGGGCUUCCACCGGGUCGUGCCCCACUUUGGGGUCAGCCAAACCCAUGGACUGGAGCCUCCCCUCCCACUGGAAUGGGGUUCACCCAGUGAUGCUUUCCCUCUGAUCCUAUUUAUUUGUAUGGCUUUGUCCCUUUGGGGUCUUUGUCCUUUGGGGUCUUUGCCUUUGGGGGUGUUUUUGGGGGUGGGGGUCGGGGUCGGUCACCCGUGGGUUUCCCACCCUGCAAUGUGUAAAUAAAAGGGAGCACCGUGGGGACACCACCGUCACAGUUGUGGGGUCACCAUCACUGCUGUGGGAUGUGGGCGCCGGCCCUAUUGGACCCUUCAGGCCGCCAGAGGUCGCCGUGUGCCCUCAUUGCGGGGGGGACACCGCAGA
rnacentral:lncRNA from 1 species